CUCAACCCUGUGAUGCCUAUGAUACUGGUGAACUUGAGUGCAGGAGAGGGGAGCAGAAUUCCCAGUGUAGCGGUGAAAUGCGUAGAUAUUGGGAGGAAUACCAGUGGCGAAGGCGGCUCUCUGGACUGUAACUGACACUGAGGCGCGAAAGCGUGGGGAGCGAACAGGAUUAGAUACCCUGGUAGUCCACGCCGUAAACGAUGAGUGCUAGGUGUUGGGGGUAUCGACCCCCCCAGUGCCGUAGUUAACACAAUAAGCACUCCGCCUGGGGAGUACGGUCGCAAGACUGAAACUCAAAGGAAUUGACGGGGGCUCGCACAAGCGGUGGAGUAUGUGGUUUAAUUCGACGCAACGCGAAGAACCUUACCAGGGCUUGACAUCCUCUGAAAAGCAUAGAGAUAUGCACCUCAUCCUUCGGGAUGACAG
rnacentral:rRNA from 1 species